rnacentral:rRNA from 1 species
AUUGAACGCUGGCGGCAGGCCUAACACAUGCAAGUCGCACGAGUGGCGGACGGGUGAGUAAUGUCUGGGAAACUGCCCGAUGGAGGGGGAUAACUACUGGAAACGGUAGCUAAUACCGCAUACCAUCGGAUGUGCCCAGAUGGGAUUAGCGCGUAGGUGUGGUAACGGCUCACCUAGGCGAAGAUCCAUAGCUGGUCUGAGAGGAUGACCAGCCACACGGGAACUGAGCCACGGUUCAGACUCCUACGGGAGGCAGCAGGGGGGAAUAUUGCACAUUGGGCGCAAGCUGGAUGCAGCCAUGCCGCGUGUAUGAAGAAGGCCUUCGGGUUGUAAAGUACUUUCAGCGAGGAGGCGUUACUCGCAGAAGAAGCACCGGCUAACUCCGUGCCAGCAGCCGCGGUAAUUC